rnacentral:rRNA from 1 species
AUUGAACGCUGGCGGCAGGCCUAACACAUGCAAGUCGAACGAGUGGCGGACGGGUGUGUAAUGUCUGGGAAACUGCCUGAUGGAGGGGGAUAACUACUGGAAACGGUAGCCAAUACCGCAUACCAUCAGAUGUGCCCAGAUGGGAUUAGCUAGUUGGGGGGGUAACGGCUCACCAAGGCGACGACCCCUAGCUGGUCUGAGAGGAUGACCAGACACACGGGAACUGGGGAACGGUCCAAACUCCUACGGGAGGCAGAAGUGGGGAAGAUUGCACAAGGGGCGAAAGCCUGAUGCAGCCAUGCCGCGGGUAUGAAGAGGGCCUGCGGGUUGUAAGGUACGUUCAGCGGGGAGGCGUUACCCGCAGAAGAAGCACCGGCUAACUCCGUGCCAGCAGCCGCGGUAAUUC